rnacentral:rRNA from 1 species
UACGGGGGGUGCAAGCGUUAAUCGGAAUUACUGGGCGUAAAGGGCGCGUAGGUGGUUACUUAAGUCAGAUGUGAAAGCCCCGGGCUCAACCUGGGAAUUGCAUUUGAUACUGGGUAACUAGAGUGUGGCAGAGAGUAGCGGAAUUUCUGGUGUAGUGGUGAAAUGCGUAGAUAUCAGAAGGAACACCAAUGGCGAAGGCAGCUGCUUGGGCCAACACUGACGCUGAGGCGCGAAAGCGUGGGGAGCAAACAGG